rnacentral:tRNA from 2 species
GGGCGUAUAGCUCAGCUGGUUAGAGCGCCUGCUUCACACGCAGGAGGUCAGCGGUUCGAGUCCGUUUACGCCCACCA